rnacentral:rRNA from 1 species
GAUGAACGCUGGCGGCGUGCCUAAUACAUGCAAGUCGAGCGAACAGAUGAGGAGCUUGCUCUUCUGACGUUAGCGGCGGACGGGUGAGUAACACGUGGAUAACCUCCUUAUAAGACUGGGAUAACUUCGGGAAACCGGAGCUAAUACCGGAUAAUAUAUUCAACCGCAUGGUUCAAUAGUGAAAGACGGUUUUGCUGUCACUUAUAGAUGGAUCCGCGCCGCAUUAGCUAGUUGGUAAGGUAACGGCUUACCAAGGCGACGAUGCGUAGCCGACCUGAGAGGAUGAUCGGCCACACUGGAACUGAGACACGGUCCAGACUCCUACGGGAGGCAGCAGUAGGGAAUCUUCGACAAUGGGCGAAAGCCUGACGGAGCAACGCCGCGUGAGUGAUGAAGGUCUUCGGAUCGUAAAACUCUGUUAUUGGGGAAGAACAAAUGUGUAAGAAACUAUGCACGUCUUGACGGUACCUAAUCAGAAAGCAACGGCUAACUACGUG